ACGAUUUUGUUGUUUGACCACAACAUUAUUAAUCGUACGGUAGUUAUAGUCAUCACUAAAAAAGAUACGGGCUGGUGUUAAAAAGAAAAGCGUCACAAAAUCAGUAAUAAUAUUAAUGAUUUGUAUCAUGAUGACUUGGUUAGGUGUCUUGCGAAAACUAUAGGCUACACCAACAGCAAUGACAACAAGUAGCAUACAAGAAAAUAGAGCUAAACGCUCUUGGCGUAUCCGAAAUAAAUCUGCUUUAAGAUAGGAAAUCAUAAAAACCUCUUUCUAAAUUAAUGGUGAUGCUGCAUCUUUACCUAACAAAUCGAGGUAAUAAUGUUCAAAGCUCACUUGAUGAUGAUAAAUGUCAAAAAUCUCAACAGGCAGAUCUAGAACAAUUUUGAUAAGCUCCAUUACUGAUAAAGUUGGUUUUAUUAGUAGCAUCUGACCAUCAGUCUCAACUCUAAGCCCCAAUUCUAAAAGUCUAUUUUUUACCAGCUGAUCAUCGCUUGUAUGAAGGGCAAUUUGUACUUUUACUUGAGCUUUAAGCUCUGCUUUGUCCAUACUCUUAAUAACUUUGCCUUUAUGCAUAAUCACGUAACGAUCAACAACUAAGUCUAAUUCUGAUAAAAUAUGACUGGAAAUCAAAAUCGUAAUACCAUAGCAAUCUCUUAGGUUCAAAAUAAUCUGACGCAUUUCUUUGAUUCCUGCUGGAUCAAGACCAUUAAUGGGUUCAUCCAAGAUUAAAAAUUCUGGAAAAUCCAGUAUCGAAAGACCAAUAGCCAAACGUUGGCGCAUCCCUAAAGAACAAUCUUUCACCUUUUUCUUUUUGCUCACUUUUUCUAACCCAAUAAGUUCCAAAACCUCAUGUAUGCGCUCUUUUGCAUCAGCUAAUCUCAAUUGCAACGCUGCAUAGUAAAGAUUAUCAUGAGCUGUCAUAUUGGGAUAAAGUGUCGGUGACUCAAUAAUUGAUCCCAUUCGAUAGGGUUGUAACUGUUUGAUUUGCCCUGAAUCUUUUC
rnacentral:antisense_RNA from 1 species